AACGAACGCUGGCGGCAGGCUUAACACAUGCAAGUCGAGCGAGACCUUCGGGUCUGGCGGCGGACGGGUGAGUAACGCGUGGGAACGUGCCCUUCUCUACGGAAUAGCCCCGGGAAACCGGGAGUAAUACCGUAUACGCCCUUUGGGGGAAAGAUUUAUGGGAGAAGGAUCGGACCGCGUUGGAUUAGGUAGUUGGUGGGGUAAUGGCCCCCCAAGCCGACGAUCCAUAGCUGGUUUGAGAGGAUGAUCAGCCACACUGGGACUGAGACACGGCCCAGAGUCCUACGGGAGGCAGCAGUGGGGAAUCUUAGAAAAUGGGGGCAACCCUGAUCUAGCCAUGCCGCGUGAGUGAUGAAGGCCUUAGGGUUGUAAAGCUCUUUCAGCUGGGAAGAUAAUGACGGUACCAGCAGAAGAAGCCCCGGCUAACUCCGUG
rnacentral:rRNA from 1 species